rnacentral:ncRNA from 1 species
AUAGGAGAAGCUGAAAACCUUUAUAGAGUAGGCA